CCGAUGGGGGCGGUGUUCUGCACACCCAGUAUGAGCAGCUCUGCUCAUGGCUCUCUCUGCUUCCAUAGAGUGGUGGCGUCAUUUCCGGUGACCCGGAAGUAGUGCGCGCGUUGCGCUCUGUGGUGGCUUGUGAUUGGUCGGAGGUCACAGCGGCAGCCAAUCAGGGACGGUUUCGGGGGAGCGCUGAGUGCUGAUGUGUGAUCCCGGCUCGCCGUCUCCCAGUCUGUCACAGCGCACGGCCGCAGCAUGCCUUAUCACCGCACCUGGGAGGAGUUCGCCCGGGCCGCAGAGAAACUCUACCAGGCCGACCCC